AGAAUCAACGCUGGCGGCGUGCCUAACACAUGCAAGUCGCACGAGAAAGGGUAGCAAUACCUGAGUACAGUGGCGCACGGGUGAGUAACACGUGAAUAAUCUACCUCCGAGUGGGGAAUAACUGAGAGAAAUCUUAGCUAAUACCGCAUAAUACCCACGGGUCAAAGCAGCAAUGCGCUUGGAGAGGAAUUCGCGGCAGAUUAGUUAGUUGGCGGGGUAAUGGCCCACCAAGACGAUGAUCUGUAUCCGGCCUGAGAGGGCGCACGGACACACUGGAACUGAAACACGGUCCAGACUCCUACGGGAGGCAGCAGUGGGGAAUUUUGCGCAAUGGGGGAAACCCUGACGCAGCAACGCCGCGUGGAGGAUGAAGCCCCUUGGGGUGUAAACUCCUUUCGAUCGGGAAGAUAAUGACGGUACCGAUAUAAGAAGCCCGGCUAACUUCGCGCCAGCAGCCGC
rnacentral:rRNA from 1 species